CCUGUGGUGCAGCUCAGAUAGCCAGUUUAUUCAUGGUAACUGAGAAGGUGAAGAAGAAAUCCUUCAUGCUUUUUCCUGUUUGCCAUCAAUUCCUGCUGCCAAUCACUGCUGAAGUCAGGAUUUGAGAGGGACCAGGAAAUGCAGCUGUCAGUAACUUCUUCCUUUGGAUAAUAUGGAAGUGUGCUGGAAUAGUACAUAUGUGUGUUGUGGAGUGGCUGUUAGCUGGAAUCAAGCAGAUAUAAAACCUCAGGUUUUGCCCUUGCUUUCUCUCUUCAACACUUGAUCUGCAAGAGUACAUAUGAAUCUGGACUGCAGGUGAACAUCAGGAAGGCUGCACCAGGAAUUGGGCAGUCUGUCCCAGGGACCUCAUCAGAGUGUACAUAUGCACAGUCUCAGAGACUUCUGCAAAGAGAAAUGCCUGUUGUGCUUGAGGGACAGACUUCUCUGGAUGACUGAAAGAGGUAAAUGAGCGUAGCGGGGCUGAGACAUGACUAGAGUACAAUAAAAAGCUGCUUCUAUUUGCAGGAUAGGCAGUAAGGGAAAUAGAAAUAUUUAGGGUUACAGAAAGAAGGCUAUUUUGGUAAAAGUAGCACCCAGAUGGACCAUGAGAGAAGCACUCUUGCAACGAGAUACAUUGGAUUGUCAGUGGUGUGAAAACAAAGCAGCAGAGUCUGGACCUUAGGAACUUCAGCUGUCAAUAAGCUGAGCACCACUGAUGGGGGAGCUGACUUGGGCUCCCAGCAGAUCACUGUCAAGAUGUGCAUAUCAGCUUCCCACGGAGGAUGUCCAAAUGGAUCUCUUUCUUAUGGAAGAUUACCUUUCUUUUCUA